rnacentral:rRNA from 1 species
GUCCAGACUCCUACGGGAGGCAGCAGUGGGGGAUAUUGCACAAUGGGGGGAACCCUGAUGCAGCGACGCCGCGUGGGUGAAGGAGCGUUUCGGCGCGUAAAGCCCUAUCGGCAGGGAAGAAGGAGGACGGUACCUGACUAAGAAGCCCCGGCUAACUACGUGCCAGCAGCCGCGGGAAUACGUAGGGGGCAAGCGUUAUCCGGAUUCACUGGGUGUAAAGGGAGCGUAGACGGCGGCGCAAGUCUGGAGUGAAAGCCCGGGGCCCAACCCCGGGACUGCUCUGGAAACUGCGGCGCUGGAGUACGGGAGGGGCAGGCGGAAUUCCUGGUGUAGCGGUGAAAUGCGUAGAUAUUAGGAGGAACACCAGUGGCGAAGGCGGCCUGCUGGACGAUGACUGACGUUGAGGCUCGAAAGCGUGGGGAGCAAACAGGAUUAGAUACCCCCGUA